rnacentral:lncRNA from 1 species
UUCAAGUACCACUAUACCAGUGUUUGGGUUUUAAGACCCUGCCAUUACCGUUCCUCUGUAUGUCUUCCAACUCUGAUAACCCGUUUCAACAUGUGCUUCUUCUGCUUCACUGUUCUUUCUGGACGAACUUCAUUCCUCGACCGCCUGCGCGCCUAAACACCACCUCUCAAACGCCUAAAGUAAGGAACGGCUACUACAAGUGUGGGGAGCCCGCACUGUGAUUUGUAAUAUGCUUCCGUCCUUAAGCACUACUAUAAUUGGUGGCGUAAAAAACACAUGCUGCUGGAAGUUCCAGAGAAUGUUUGUUAAUAAUCCCAUUUAUUUGAGCUUGGCAUACAAGCAAGGCCCAGAAAACAUCCGCAAAUAGACCGGCAACGUCAGAACGAUGUACGACUUCUGAGAUCAGUCUUUUUCGCAUAUAGAUACGCUUCCAACCAGCAGACCAGUUCAGCCAGGAAUGCAGCUGUCCCAGUCUUAACCAUGCAUCACAGCAGCUAAGACUUCCGUCCACGGUCAUACAUGAAGCCAAGAGGGACUGCUGCAGGGAGGGUCUUCCUUGUACCAAUUUUUACACUACAUGUAGCAUAGUAUUUGUGGGUAACCCCCUGGGUAUGGCAGGGGUAGGGGUAGGGGCAUGUAGCAGCUGACCGCUGAAAAGGUCUCUCGAGUUGCUGGCGGUCGCGCUCUGCGCGUAUUUCUAGCACCGUACUGUGUACCGGCUGCUACAUUCCCCCCCCUUUGAAGGGAACCGUCCCGGGCCCUUAGAGCCUCGUAUACCGCCAGCCUGUGCCUACCUUCGCCUACCCUCGGGCAGUGGGGUGGCCAAGCCCACGUCGCGUCAUGCCGCCCUUCAUGCGCCUAGCCUUCAGGUUUUUCAGGCACAGAGACAAUCCAGUCGGUUCAGCUACUUUUAUAGUUUUUGUGCGAUAUUCGCUCACUGAGUCGCCUCACCCGAAAUACCACUCGAACGUGAUCGGUGGGGGUUGAACCGACGACUUCAGGAUCGUGAUUUUUCACGAGGUCUCGAUACCAAAUGUAGCAGCUGACCGCUGAAAAGGUCUCUCGAGUUGCUGGCGGUCGCGCUCUGCACGUAUUUCUAGCACCGUACUGUGUACCGGCUG